ensembl:lncRNA
UAAGCUUCAACUGCAAGAAAAAAUUAAACUCAAACCUUUCUAUUUAAAAAAAAAUAUAUAUGAAUUGUGUCAGAAUUUCCACACAUAAACUCAGAAUUGCACAAAUAAAAUAAAAAAUCUGAAUUAAGAGUUGUAAGAAAAAACUAUCCUGAGGCAGAAACAAGCUUCCAUAGUUAGCUCCAAAUGGUAGUAUAAAAAAUCUGCAUGAAGAUCCUUCAAAUUUUUCGAUUUGUGUUUCACAGAAAAAGAUGACAGCUAUUGGUUUGGAACGACGUGAGUAAAUACUGACAGAAAUAUAAUUUUGGUGUGAACUGUUCCUUUAAAUAUUUUGGUUUUCCAUACAGUGGAGCUUGUUUGUGGUUGUGGCUGGAAAUGUUUGUACCUGCAUAAAUUUUGCUCUCCCAUGAAUUCUAAUGCAUGCUCCCUAAUCAGAGUUUGCCUUAUAUCUUCGGGGCCAUGCCAUUUUGAUGAUCGCAUUACGAUGCCGCAACACUCACUGUGUUUAACGCGUUAUCUGUGUUGCCACGUUAGGAAAAUCUCCCUGAAGUUUCUUUCUUACUGGAGGGUAAAAAAUGCAUCAGCAUUGCAUCGGCUGUGUAUGGAGAUGGUGCCGCCUCCGCAGUGCAUUGACAUGCAAACCAGAUCCCACUAGAGACAUGGAGAGAAGUAUCAAACCGAGGACUGACUGAUGAAUGACUAAGUAGGUGCAAGUAAACCUCUUAUUAACUCCUAAACACCGUAGCAAUAAGUACAGAGCUGCCAGAGAGAACAGUGCAAGUCUGGAGCAGUUUGGAAGAGGAGAAAACCAGCUAAAGAAGGAUAAUUAUAGAAUCUUGUGGCCAAAUGCCAGAGAAAACAUGUUUUUGUUUGUCUUCUGUGCCCCUUUGAGAGGAAGGGAUCCUGAAUGUUUGGAAUAGGUCGGCAGACUGUGGGUUUUUAAACUCUCUUGCCUAAUCACGUCGGAAAAGAUCAAAUAUUCAGGACAGAAGGACAGCCUUUUCCUCGCCCACCAUUUCUCUGGAUAUCAAACACAGGAAGAGCUGAAGAAGAGAAAAUGUCAAGGGGCCAGAGUUUCGUUUGAAUCUAACUUCUGUAAUUAUCAAGGCUAAUUUAAGGUUGCUAUUUUCCAGCACUUGCCAGAAUGUAAAAAUCAGUGUUUAGUGAGGCAAGUGAAAUGUUGAACUAAAUGUUACUAAUGUUGACUUUCAUUUGACUGAAAAACUGAAGAUAAUAAUUAGGCUGAUGAUUAAUAAAUACAAAUAAACUAAUUUUAUGUUAUGCCUGGUUGCUGCCUUUCUCCAUUACCACUGCCACUAGUUAAUCACUGACAUAAAUGCCUCA